rnacentral:lncRNA from 1 species
UUUCCUCUGCCACUCUCAAUCCUCACAGGUACUAAUCUAAUCAUGUUAUUAUUAUUAUUUUUUUUUUUGCAACCCCCGUUUGAUUCCCAAGAAAAUCCAUCCCCCAUUCGAUUUCCGGGAAAAUUCAUCCUCGUUUGAUUUCCGAGAAAAUCCAAGCAAAAACCCUGCAACCCCCGUUUGAUUCCCAAGAAAACCCAUCCCCCAUUCGAUUUCCGGGAAAAUUCAUCCUCGUUUGAUUUCCGAGAAAAUCCAAGCAAAAACCCCAAGGAAAACCAAAAAAAUGGAUUUUCUUUUGCUCCCU